rnacentral:rRNA from 1 species
UACGGAGGGGGCUAGCGUUGUCCGAAGUUACUGGGCGUAAAGCGCGCGUAGGCGGGUUGGUAAGUCCGCUGUGAAAGCCCGGAGCUCAACUCCGGAGGGUCGGUGGAUACUGCCAGUCUUGAAGGUGCUAGGGGGAGAUGGAAUUACCGGUGUAGCGGUGAAAUGCGUAGAUAUCGGGAGGAACACCAGUGGCGAAGGCGGCGAUCUGGGUAGAUACUGACGCUGAGGUGCGAAAGCGUGGGGAGCAAACAGG